rnacentral:sRNA from 1 species
UGAUACUGCGAACUAGGGAAUUAUAAAG